rnacentral:ncRNA from 1 species
AUAAAGUUUUAUUUUAGCUUAAAAAUUAAGUAUUAUUUUUAAUUAUAUGUAAAUUUUAUUAAAGAAUAGAAGGCAGUUUUUAAUAUUAUUAAUUUAAGAAAUUAAGAAUUAGAAAUAAUGUGUAAUAUAAACUAAAUUUGUGCCAGCAGUUGCGGUUAGACAAAUUAUAUAAAUUAAUUUUGUUAAUUUUAAUAAGUUAGUAUUUUAAUUUUAAAAUUAAAUUUAUUUGGUGAAAUUAUAAAUUUAAAAUAAAAUUUGUAUUUGAUAAUUAUAUUAAAAAAUUUUAAGUAUAAACUAGGAUUAGAUACCCUAUUAUUUAAAAGGUAAUUUUUUAUUAAAUUAGUAUUAGUUAUGAUCUUGAAAAUUAAAAAUUUUGGCGGUAUUUUAAUCUAUUCAGAGGAACCUGUUUUAUAAAUGAUAAUCCACGAUUUUAUGUACUUUUGUUAUUAACUUGUAUAUCGUCGUUAUUUAAAUAUUUUUGUAGAAUUAAAAUAUUUAAAAUUUUUUAUAAAAAAAUAUUUCAGAUCAAGGUAUAGUUUAUACAAAAGAAUAAAUGGGUUACAAUAAAAAUAUUUUAGGAUUGGUAUUUUUAAAAUAUUAUUAAUUUGGAUUUGACAGUAAUUUUAAUUAAUUUAUUAAGAUGAUUUUAGUACUAAAAUAUGUACAUAUUGCCCGUCACUUUCAUUUAAUAUGGAAUAAGUCGUAACAGAGUAGAUUUACUGGAAAGUGAAUCUAGAAACAA